rnacentral:rRNA from 1 species
CCCUUAGAUGUUCUGGGCAGCACGCGCGCUACAAUGGUCUUCGCAAACGGAUGCAUUCUCGAAGGAGAAUGCCAAUCUUGGAAUCUAUGCCUUGGUCGGGACAGUUGCUUGCAAUUUUUCGACUCGAACCAGGAAUUCCUUGUAAUCGUGAUUCAUCACAUCACGAUGAAUACGUCCCUGCCCUUUGUACACACCGCCCGUCGCUCCUACCGAUCGUAGAGUUAGGUGAAUUGUUUUGAUCGAUAAGAUUUGACUAUGGUCAACUCUCGUUGUGAAAUUCUGUGAAUCUGACUGUUUAGAGGAAGGAAAAGUCGUAACA